rnacentral:lncRNA from 1 species
AAAUUUCUUCAGGUUUCAUCAUGCUCUGCUGCAUAAAGGGAUUGCCAACAUUUUUUCGUGUAAAUUUUAUUUAGUUCCAGAUUACCAGUUUUACUUGCUCGCACCAGAAAAAGAGAAAAAACAAAUUACUCAACUAGGUCAUUACUUACGGCAACAGGUUUCAGCGCAUAGAAAGGAGCAUUUUUUUAGGGGAGCUCACCUGGGAGUUUCUUAGGCUUACGCAACGGAAUGAACUUGGCACCGAUGGCUAGUGCAAUCGCCGGGCCAAAUAUAAACCCUCUCGCCUCAAUCCCUGAAGAAUGGAAACAAAAAUAAUCAUAAAUAAUAUGAUGGCACACAAGGUAACUCCAUUUAGUCGAGAAUAACAAGAUACUGUCUUACUGGUAAUAAAAGGAGAGGGUUAUGAGGAAACAGAAUGGAAAACCCAAAACCAGGACCAGGUAGGGAGGAAGCAGACAGAGGAUCCAACAAAGGAACAAAGCAAAAUCUGAGAAGCAGUACUUUCCCGUGAAAACGACGGCAGAUUGGCCACAUCCACGCGCAUGACCUCAGAGCAAACGGGGUGCUACAGGCGCCUACUCCGUCCGUCCGGUGUACCGCCGGCCUCCCACCGUCCGAUCCGAUCCCCGGCAGACACGGCCGCGGCCGUCGGACCACGGGGGACCUCUGGUCCGGUCCCCUCGCUGGCCACGAGAUCUGCCCGUGCCAGGGCUUCUACGUGCGCCCCGGAUACGCUAUUGAAUGCG